rnacentral:rRNA from 1 species
UACGGAGGGGGCGAGCGUUAUCCGGAAUCACUGGGUUUAAAGGGUGCGUAGGCGGCUCGGUAAGUCAGUUGUGAAAGCCCCUUGCUUAACGAGGGAGGUGCGAUUGAUACUGUCGAGCUUGAAUUGGGAUGAGGCAGGCGGAAUGUGGCAUGUAGCGGUGAAAUGCAUAGAUAUGCCAUAGAACACCGAUUGCGAAGGCAGCCUGCUGGGCCGGUAUUGACGCUGAGGCACGAAAGCGUGGGGAGCAAACAGG